UAACAGCCUGAUGGCUCUCCAUUUGCACUGUUUUUCCCAGAAGUCUCAGAGAGAGGGGACAAAUUGGCCAAGGUCAAGUAGCAAGUUCAGGAAAGCCCCUCUCCUUUGGAGUCAGGGUUCAUUGCCUACUGCGCCUGCACCAAAGGCAGCCAAGUGAGGACAGCCCAUCGUCCCAGAGCUGCAGCCGCAAAUCCAAAUUAACCAGAGGAAGGACAGCGGCAGGCAGUGCCAGGGAGGAUGAGCACCCGAGAGCUGGCCAUGCACCCUCCAUGUCUGGAAGGGUGGGUGGAGCCAGGACUGAAGACAGAGCUGAACUCUGAACCUCUAACCUCCAGCCUCACAGAACCGCUUCCCCCAUACACAUCCCUAGUCCACUAAAUGCCAAAGAGAGGCCACCAGCCUGCCCCUCGGGGAUAGAGACUCUGGACAGCGGUGAGGCCACAUUCUGUCGGUGGCUAGGUUUGGGGCACUGAAGUGUACUCCGUCAUAGGGACAAGAUGCUUUGCACCAUCCUUGGACUCUGAGGGAAUGUGUAAUCGGCUAACAUUAAGACUAAUAGAAAAAUGCAGCUGUGAUCAUGCACCCUGCCAGAUGUCACAGGCAUAACAGAGAAGUGACUACACGUUUGGGGACAGUGUAGAGGCCACCCCGAUUAGAUCAGAGGGCUGGCUUAAGAAGUUAAGCUGAAGGGGGCAGUUGCCAGGGAAGAAUGAAAGAGAGAGAAGCAGAGAAAGACUCCAGGAUUCCAAGAACUUCUGACAGGGAAGUGAGAAGUUGGGACAGAUGAGAGGGUCUGUCUAGGAGGUGACAUCUGAGGGAAAAUGUCCAUGAGGCCACUGGAGACUCACGAGUACAAUUCCAAUUACUCAGCCAUUAGAAACGACAAAUAACCACCAUUUGCUUCCACGUGGAUGGAACUGGAGGGUAAUAUGCUGAGUGAAAUAAGUCAAUCGGAGAAGGACAAACAUAGAUGGUCUCAUUCAUUGGGGAAUAUAAAAAAUAGUGAAAGGAAU
rnacentral:lncRNA from 12 species